rnacentral:rRNA from 1 species
UGCAGUCGAGCGGAACGACUUAACUGAACCUUCGGGGAACGUUAAGGGCGUCGAGCGGCGGACGGGUGAGUAAUGCCUGGGAAUAUGCCUUGAUGUGGGGGAUAACCAUUGGAAACGAUGGCUAAUACCGCAUAAUCUCUUCGGAGCAAAGAGGGGGACCUUCGGGCCUCUCGCGUCAAGAUUAGCCCAGGUGGGAUUAGCUAGUUGGUGAGGUAAUGGCUCACCAAGGCGACGAUCCCUAGCUGGUCUGAGAGGAUGAUCAGCCACACUGGAACUGAGACACGGUCCAGACUCCUACGGGAGGCAGCAGUGGGGAAUAUUGCACAAUGGGCGCAAGCCUGAUGCAGCCAUGCCGCGUGUGUGAAGAAGGCCUUCGGGUUGUAAAGCACUUUCAGUCGUGAGGAAGGUGGUGUCGUUAAUAGCUGCAUUAUUUGACGUUAGCGACAGAAGAAGCACCGGCUAACUCCGUGCCAGCAGCCGCGGUAAUACGGAGGGUGCGAGCGUUAAUCGGAAUUACUGGGCGUAAAGCGCAUGCAGGUGGUUUGUUAAGUCAGAUGUGAAAGCCCGGGGCUCAACCUCGGAACCGCAUUUGAAACUGGCAGGCUAGAGUACUGUAGAGGGGGGUAGAAUUUCAGGUGUAGCGGUGAAAUGCGUAGAGAUCUGAAGGAAUACCGGUGGCGAAGGCGGCCCCCUGGACAGAUACUGACACUCAGAUGCGAAAGCGUGGGGAGCAAACAGGAUUAGAUACCCUGGUAGUCCACGCCGUAAACGAUGUCUACUUGGAGGUUGUGGCCUUGAGCCGUGGCUUUCGGAGCUAACGCGUUAAGUAGACCGCCUGGGGGAGUAC